UACGGAGGAUGCAAGCGUUAUCCGGAAUGAUUGGGCGUAAAGGGUCCGCAGGUGGCAGUGUAAGUCUGCUGUCAAAGAAUGAGGCUUAACCUUAUCAAGGCAGUGGAAACUACACAGCUAGAGUACGGUCGGGGUAGAAGGAAUUCCUGGUGUAGCGGUGAAAUGCGUAGAGAUCAGGAAGAACACCGGUGGCGAAAGCGUUCUGCUAGACCUGUACUGACGCUCAUGCACGAAAGCGUGGGGAGCAAACAGG
rnacentral:rRNA from 1 species